rnacentral:tRNA from 1 species
GCCCACUUAGCUCAGAGGUUAGAGCAUCGCAUUUGUAAUGCGAGGGUCAU